rfam:Schistosoma margrebowiei strain Zambia genome assembly, scaffold: SMRZ_contig0000291
GCACCACUGAGGAGUCCCACAAUAGGACGAAACGGUCGUCCAGUGC